UUGAAUUCUUGGCCUUAAGUGAU
rnacentral:miRNA from 1 species